UCCAGGUUAGGCAGGGUUACCCGCUAAAUUUAA
rnacentral:rRNA from 1 species